AUGGAGUGAACGUCUCAGUGGGU
rnacentral:miRNA from 1 species